UUCGGGGGAAAGAAUUUCGGUGAGGGAUCGGCCCGCGUUAGAUUAGUUAGUUGGUGGGGUAAUGGCCUACCAAGACUACGAUCUAUAGCUGGUUUGAGAGGAUGAUCAGCAACACUGGGACUGAGACACGGCCCAGACUCCUACGGGAGGCAGCAGUGGGGAAUCUUAGACAAUGGGGGCAACCCUGAUCUAGCGAUGCCGCGUGAGUGAUGAAGGCCUUAGGGUCGUAAAGCUCUUUCGCCUGUGAUGAUAAUGACAGUAGCAGGUAAAGAAACCCCGGCUAACUCCGUGCCAGCAGCCGCGGUAAUACGGAGGGGGUUAGCGUUGUUCGGAAUUACUGGGCGUAAAGCGCACGUAGGCGGAUUAGUCAGUCAGAGGUGAAAUCCCAGGGCUCAACCCUGGAACUGCCUUUGAUACUGCUAGUCUUGAGUUCGAGAGAGGUAAGUGGGAAUUUCCGAGUGUAGAGGUGAAA
rnacentral:rRNA from 1 species